GCCUCCACACCACCACCCCCACCCCGCGCGGCCACCUGCUGCCACGGAAACCUGUGGUGGAGCA
ensembl:lncRNA